GGCCAGUGUAGUGUAGUGGUUUGAGCAUGGACUGGGACUCUGGAGACCAGGAUUUGAUUCCCUACUCGGCCA